ensembl:miRNA MIR219A2 microRNA 219a-2
ACUCAGGGGCUUCGCCACUGAUUGUCCAAACGCAAUUCUUGUAAGAGUCUGCGGCCAACCGAGAAUUGUGGCUGGACAUCUGUGGCUGAGCUCCGGG